rnacentral:rRNA from 1 species
GAGAUUCCCCUAGUAGCGGCGAGUGAACGGGGAAGUGCCCAUCGCUUAAUCCGACGCCUCCCUGGGCGUUACGGAUAUUUGGCGUAUGGGAGAGACACUUCCGGAAUCGUACUCUGGUGCAAGUCCCCGUGACUGGGGCUCUUGUCCCGAGAGGGUGCGAGGCCCGUAGCGGCCGGAACUCGGUUCCGGAUGUCCUCUCCUGGGAGUCGGGUUGCUUGAGAGUGCAGCCCUAAUCGGGUGGUAAACUCCAUCUAAGGCUAAAUACGACCUCGAGACCGAUAGCGAACAAGUACCGUGAGGGAAAGUUGAAAAGGACUUUGAAGAGAGAGUUCAAGAGUACGUGAAACCGUUCGGAGGUAAACGAGUGGGCCUUCGAAGGAAGGCAACGAGGGGAUUCAGUCGAGGGUGUUCGAGUGGCUUUCACGAUUCGCUUCCUCAAAAGGACGAGUCGGGUUAGUUGGCAAGUCUCGGAACCCGCGCCGCAUUUCCUCUCGUUCUCUGACGCUGCGACCGGUCGGGUGCGCUACGAGCAGUCGGCUUUACUCACUGGGGACGGCAGGGANCCCGAGCAACGUCAAGGCGGCGUUCUGGUGUUAAGCCACCUCAUAAUCGCGGCCGUUCACNCNACCGAAGGAAAAGGCCNNANGGGCUUGUCCGCGUCUUUCCCGUUUCGGGAGCAUGUUCUUUUUUGNUGGCAAGGAUGUCUCCGUUCUCNNCGUUUUCACCNCCAGGNGGNNAAUGGGCGGUGCACUCGUUGGUUGGAAAUUAACNUGANNNCCUGGC